AUUGAACGCUGGUGGCAGGCCUAACACAUGCAAGUCGAACGGUAACAGGAAGAAGCUUGCUUCUUUGCUGACGAGAGGCGGACGGGUGAGUAAUGUCUGGGAAACUGCCUGAUGGAGGGGGAUAACUACUGGAAACGGUAGCUAAUACCGCAUAACGUCGCAAGACCAAAGAGGGGGACCUUCGGGCCUCUUGCCAUCGGAUGUGCCCAGAUGGGAUUAGCUAGUAGGUGGGGUAACGGCUCACCUAGGCGACGAUCCCUAGCUGGUCUGAGAGGAUGACCAGCCACACUGGAACUGAGACACGGUCCAGACUCCUACGGGAGGCAGCAGUGGGGAAUAUUGCACAAUGGGCGCAAGCCUGAUGCAGCCAUGCCGCGUGUAUGAAGAAGGCCUUCGGGUUGUAAAGUACUUUCAGCGGGGAGGAAGGGAGUAAAGUUAAUACCUUUGCUCAUUGACGUUACCCGCAGAAGAAGCACCGGCUAACUCCGUG
rnacentral:rRNA from 1 species